UAGAGUUUUGAUCCUGGCUCAGAGCGAACGCUGGCGGCAGGCUUAACACAUGCAAGUCGAGCGGGCCCUUCGGGGUCAGCGGCGGACGGGUGAGUAACGCGUGGGAACGUGCCUUCUGGUUCGGAAUAACCCUGGGAAACUAGGGCUAAUACCGGAUACGCCCUUUUGGGGAAAGGUUUACUGCCGGAAGAUCGGCCCGCGUCUGAUUAGCUAGUUGGUGGGGUAACGGCCUACCAAGGCGACGAUCAGUAGCUGGUCUGAGAGGAUGAUCAGCCACACUGGGACUGAGACACGGCCCAGACUCCUACGGGAGGCAGCAGUGGGGAAUAUUGGACAAUGGGCGCAAGCCUGAUCCAGCCAUGCCGCGUGAGUGAUGAAGGCCUUAGGGUUGUAAAGCUCUUUUAUCCGGGACGAUAAUGACGGUACCGGAGGAAUAAGCCCCGGCUAACUUCGUGCCAGCAGCCGCGGUAAUACGAAGGGGGCUAGCGUUGCUCGGAAUCACUGGGCGUAAAGGGCGCGUAGGCGGCGUUUUAAGUCGGGGGUGAAAGCCUGUGGCUCAACCACAGAAUGGCCUUCGAUACUGGGACGCUUGAGUAUGGUAGAGGUUGGUGGAACUAAGUGUAGAGGUGAAAUUGG
rnacentral:rRNA from 1 species